rnacentral:rRNA from 1 species
ACGCACGCUGGCGGCGUGCUUAACACAUGCAAGUCGUACGGUAAGGCCCUUUCGGGGGUACACGAGUGGCGAACGGGUGAGUAACACGUGAGUAACCUGCCCACAACUUUGGGAUAACGCUAGGAAACUGGUGCUAAUACUGGAAAUGUGCUCCUGCUGCAUGGUGGGGGUUGGAAAGCUCCGGCGGUGUGGAUGGACUCGCGGCCUAUCAGCUUGUUGGUGGGGUAGUGGCCUACCAAGGCGGCGACGGGUAGCCGGCCUGAGAGGGUGACCGGCCACAUUGGGACUGAGAUACGGCCCAGACUCCUACGGGAGGCAGCAGUGGGGAAUAUUGCACAAUGGGCGCAAGCCUGAUGCAGCAACGCCGCGUGCGGGAUGACGGCCUUCGGGUUGUAAACCGCUUUCAGCAGGGACGAAGCUUUUUGUGACGGUACCUGCAGAAGAAGCACCGGCUAACUACGUG